rnacentral:lncRNA from 1 species
AUACACAAAUAAUUGGGGUAUUACAUUGUUUCUAAUUCCAAACAAAAUACAUAAAUAAUUAAACUAAUAAACUACACAAAGCAUUGUUUGCAAAUUAAAAUCAAAGUACAGUUCUUAUUCUUAAAUAAAUUGACAGCAAAAUUGAAAAUGUUAUUUCACCAUUCCACUUGCCUUGCACACAAAGUAAACAUUCAUUUCCUUCAUCAAAUAAAGUUGUCAACAAAACACUACAACAUCCCGUCUUCUUGCUUCUUCUCCUUCGUUCCAGUCAAGAACACCUCCAUUGGAGGUGUUGUUCUUGUGAAAUCAGUCCAUCAAAGGGACAACAACCACUCCCCAUUUCCUUCUUCUUCUUCCUAUUGAAUGAAACAACAGAACACCUACUGAUUUUUUCCUUCUAUCUUCCCUGUCAAACAUCAAACCCAAACAUCUAUUUUCCUCCACUGAUUUCAGUCUAAACAGAAGCAAAAAAAAAAAAAAAAAAAAAAAAAAAAAGGGAAACCCCACUGAAUACCCCGACGUCGUACUACUCGUCGGACCCUUUUCUGGCCACCUCCCCUUCGCAACCUCUUAGCCACACCGAACCCUGGAUCCAAAACCAUUGAAUCGUUCACCCCGUUUCGUCCCUCGUUGCUAGAACCGAAGCAAGCAAGCAGCCAAGAAGCUGCUUGAGCAGCUCCUCGCUGCACCCACCGAGACCACAGCAGCGUCGCUGCUUCUCCCUUCCUCCCAUUCGGCCUCAUCGAACCCCGGAGAAGAUCUCUCUUCGCGAAUCGAUCGACGAAUCACGGUGCCGCCUGCGAGCCUUCGUGCUUUCCUUCUCAUUGUCUUCGCUCGUCUGCCUUCGUCCACUCGCCGUCUUCAUUCAUCUGCUUUCUUUCCCUCUUUUCCUUUGCCCGAUCAACGAAUGGCAACAGGCACAAAAGCCCUAAUUUCUUUUAAG